CCUAAGAGCAGUUCAGAAGAGGGUCAUGCCAGACCCAGCAAAAGGGUGGAGGCAGUUCCGCGCUCGUGUACUGUAUGAAUCAGACUCCAUUCAAACUAUCCAGUCCAAGUGGGACAAAGCAUGCAUCACAUCAGACUUAAAUGCAGAUGUUGAAAUGCAGAAGAAUCCAGUUAGAGAAUACCAAGACAGCUCAGAGAGUCAUCAUCAUCAUCAUCACUAUCUGAGGAGGAGGAUGAUCCUGAACACCUAAGAAGACCUCCCCCUUUACCUUUGAAAAUUGCAAGACCAAGAGAAGAGCCAACUUACACUGAACUCUCAACAGUAACUUGCCUCAGUGAUAUGGAGGCUUAAGGACCACUGCACCACACUGAUCAACAG